rnacentral:misc_RNA from 1 species
AAGUCGUAACAAGGUAACCGUAGGUGAACCUGCGGUUGGAUCAUUAUUGAAUCUUUUCAAGUUACUAGUUAAGCCUACCCAUUAAGGGAAAGCACUAGUGACUCUACCCCCAAAAUUACCUUGUGAAUUAUGUUUAGUACUCGUCUUUGGCUAUUACCUUUAUAAGGAAAUAGCCUUUGACUUUAAAAACCUUUAGAUAUUGUUAUCAAAUUGAAUUAUUUACUUGAAAAAAAAGUAAACAACUUUUGACAACGGAUCUCUUGGCUCUC